UACGUAGGGUGCGAGCGUUAAUCGGAAUUACUGGGCGUAAAGCGUGCGCAGGCGGUUUCGUAAGACAGACGUGAAAUCCCCGGGCUUAACCUGGGAACUGCGUUUGUGACUGCGAGACUAGAGUGCGGCAGAGGGGGGUAGAAUUCCACGUGUAGCAGUGAAAUGCGUAGAGAUGUGGAGGAAUACCGAUGGCGAAGGCAGCCCCCUGGGUCGAUACUGACGCUCAUGCACGAAAGCGUGGGGAGCAAACAGG
rnacentral:rRNA from 1 species